rnacentral:misc_RNA from 1 species
CCAUAACGCGGCCGCCGCGUACACGCAUUCCACCACCCUUGACUUUGAGCACCGUUAUGUUUCCUCGGCAGGGACGCCUGCCAGCGGGGACCCAUCGAACACUUGCAGUAGCAGUAUUUGUCUGAGAAUAAACACAAAAAUCA